rfam:Picea glauca, whole genome shotgun sequence.
ACAUGCCUAUAUCAUAGUGUUAAUGCACUAGAUCCUGUUAGAACUCUACUAUUAAGCACGCUCAGGGUAGAUUAGUACUGGGAUGGGUGACUGCCUGGGAAGUCCUAGUGUUUUACAUGCC